GCCCUAUACUUAGGGUUAAAAUGCAAAACUUCUAACUUCCCUUCAUGCCAGUGGCACAGAUGACUAGGACAGGGGUUGUUGCAACAGGGUCUAUACAGCAAGCAGAAGAAGUGUUGUCCUUCUUCUUUUUAGCUGCUGAAUUUGGUUGUCCAGUGGAAGUGCGAGUCUCUGAGCGGAGUGCAGCCCGUUGCCAGCUCUGUGCCCACCUUUCCUGUCCCGUGCAGUGGUGAGCUUGUUCUCCAGAGAGCACGUUGCUCUUGCCAUAACGAACAGCCUAGACAUUCAGCCCAGCUCACAGCCUGGACAGUCAGGAGCCAGCUAACAAAAGAAAUCCUGAGGAGAGGGAAAAGCAUCGUAGCUAUGAAGAGCAAUUAAACAGACCAGGGAUCUUCAGCCUGCGAGUUAGCUGAGGAGAGAUCCAGUAGAGGUGUAUAAAAUUAUGAGUGGCCUGGAAAAAUGAAUUGGUUGCUACUCUUUUACUUCAGUUACCAGAAAAAGCAGAUUCAGAAGAAACCAAAGGAGCCAUGAGAUAGAUUCUGAAGAUUUUGUCUGGAGGGGAAAAGUGCCCUACCCUUUUGCUGAAAGGUCUGCAUUAGGUUGUGCUGUUUGAUUUUACUUUACAUUAAGAUCUUGGAUCUGAGGCUUAAGCCAGUGAGAAAAGCUUCCACAGCAUUGCUGCAGGAUGACUGUGCCUAUAUAAUAACUGCACAUAAAGGUGCUCUAUUUGUACUUUAAUGAGAAAAAUCCCAAAUAGGCAAAUCCAUUUGACAGUUCCAUUCCUGAGAAAAAAAUGCCUCUUCCAGAGCAGCUUGGGGUUGCCAUGUAGUAUGUCCUUCUAAUGUACGGGACCUGCAGGAUGCUAUAGCAGAGAACAGACUUCUGCCAAUUUGCUGUAGAAAUCAGUCAAAUUUUCUAUUCUUAAAUCUAAGCCAGAAAUCUGAUGUAUUAUUUAAAGUAGAAUCAUCUGUUCCACAGGUUAAGGUAUUAGGAGAACAGAGAAGAUGAGAUUAUAUUAAGAAAGUCCUGCAAUGUGGAAGGAUUUUGGAGAUCAAAUGUAGACAUUUCUUGAGAGGUUUGUCUUUAGAAGACCUAGACUAAGUCCAUCCUCUACAAUCAUGUAGAGGAGGGAUUCAAAACUGUGUCUCCUGGUGCGAUUUAGUGCCCUGCAGUUCAACUCUGGAGUGAAUUAUUUCUUUUUCUUUUUUCACAUGGGAUAAGGAUGGAACAUGGAUAGGAUAAAUCCUAGCUUGUUCUGCCCACUGAUUGUCCCUAAGAUGCACCACACAGGACAGUCACAGUGUCUAGUUAAGACCUGUGAAAGUCAGUUUAGCAGAUAGUGACAGAAUUAGGAAAUGUGUGUGUUUGAAGCACAAGUGGAUUCUGCCAGUUGCUUGGGCAUCAAGGCUUUAGAAUCAACGCUGUGACCAAGAGACAGCCUACCGGCUAUGAAGAACAAAGGGGAAAUCUUGCUAGGAUUUUCAUACACACCUCUCUUUCCCUUUGAAGAUGAUAGUUGUUGAGACAGGGAGCUCUUUGGCCCAGGUUCUCAAUUUUUUGACCUUGUUUAUAUUGCACCUAGCACAAGAGUGCCCUUACUACUUGCUUAGGAUUCUUUGGGAUUCUUGUAUUAUACUUUGGAAACACUCUAAGAACUAUUCAUGUAAUAGAAAUACCAAAAGGAACCUUCCCAGCACCCCUUCUCCUGUGAGAGAUCCUUUGUGGUUUCUCUCAUACCCUCAAGGCUUGUGAGCGUGAUUUUAUCCCAUGCCAAGUGACACUUGAAUUUCCCAGUGCUGAGGUUUUUCUCCAUUUUUGUCUAGGUCAACUUCCCACAUGUGUGAGUCUGAGUGGAGCCAUUUCAAGGCUCAGUCUCCAUAGGGUGCUAACCAUGCCAAAGCUCUGACCACAUCCAAAUUCUAGUAGAGGGCUUGGAGAUGGCCUCUCUUUCCCCCAAGUUGCCUGCUUGUACUAAAUACUGGGGCAGCUCUCUAAAAUACUGAAGGAACAAGCAUGCAAGGCAGUAAAAUGAGGCAAUUAAACCUAUAAAACCAGGGUUUACAAGGAAAUUUAUAGUGUCAGAGGCUUUUUAUAGCUUUUUUAGAUUAGUUUAAAUAAAAAAGGGGGAGAGAGAAAAAGACAGAGAGAGAGAGAGAGGACCUGAAACUUGAGGAGACUUGAAAGUUCAGAGAAAGGCUUUUAGGAAACACAGAGGGGUAAUAAUUAGAGGCACAUUUUCCAUUUCACUGUCUUUGCAAAUUGAAAUUAAAGAAGGAGAAAAAAAAGCAUGCACAAAAUAACUGGCAGUUUACAUUGCUCCCACUUCCUGCUAUUCCCAUUUGAUUUUUCUGUUGCUGUUCUUUUGUUUUCUGGUCAGGUGAAAACAUCUUUUCACCUGGGCAAAGGAACUAAAGUGAAAGUGAUCUCAAGUAAAGCAAAAUGGUAUUUGGCUGUUUUUUCCCCUUCUCUGCUAGGCCUAUACUUGCUUGGUUUUAUAGUGCACUGUGUGCCUUGCAGCUCUAGGAGCUUGUGUUCAAGAGCUAAAAUGGAGCCAGCACCUGAUUAAGGCAGAUUUGGUCAGGUAAGACAAUAGGCCCUGUGUUUUAAAGAGUAUGCCACAUUUCACAGCUUCUCCUGCUUCCUUUUCCACUGCAGUGCACAAUGUGUGCGUGAGUACAAACACACACACAUCAGCUUGUGCCCAGUUAGACCCAUUCUUGGCUUUAGUCUGCUUCUACCUGGAAUGAAUGAAUGGUGAUCAAGAUCUUUCAAAUCCCACAUCCUUCUCUGUCUUCCAAGUAGAUUCAUAAAAAGGCCAAAGUCUGCUGCUCUGCUAAUUGUCUUGCUGUUGUAGUGUUGUUUUGUAAUUUUGGUCUUUUUAGAAAUGUCCCCAAAGUCUGUGCUCUGUGAUGAUAUGGACAACAGUCUCACCUUAAACACAUGGGUACCUCAUUCUAGUGUGAAGGGGAAAUGUCCACUGGCAACAUCUUUGUCAUCAUCAUGCUAUCUGCGUUUAUGCCAUUCGUAAAAUUACUCUUUCUGUGGUGUUUCCGAGAUACUGGCUGCCACAGCUGUGUUAGAGAGCUGAGUGCUGUCUUCAUGAAACACAUUGCUUCAUACCCUCUCUUUACCUCAUUUUCUUUCCCAGAUAGAGUAUGCUGUGAUUAGUGUGGUAGAGUAUAAAUUCUGUUUGGUUGCUAACUAUGCAAUCAGUAAAUUACUAAUUAACCAUAGCAAUUCAUCAUCCUUCUACUGUGUAGAUUUGUAGAGAAACCUACCAUUUCUCUAAGGCAAUAAAAAUAAACUUACAGAAAGAUAGAAAACAGCAACCUGCACUUCAGGUCAGUUUAAACUGCUUAUGUGGGAACAUUUUGGCUGAUGGGGAUGGUGCCACAGGAUACGUGUUCUGCCACAGGAGAAGCAUUUCACCACCCUUGAGUUCUUCAGAGGAAAGGAAGGUUGUUCUUUAUAAUCUUUGGCUAAUUGAAGUUGAUGCAUUCAUUGUAACAGAUAUAUUGAUAAUUGGAAUAUCUAUGGAACACAGUGAUUGGUUACUAGCUGAGUGACACAAGUGUUUUCAAGCAAAGUCAUUUUUUUCAGGUGUUACCUUUUGGUGUUCACAGUUCCUGUUGUGGUAUCAUGAUACUAUUUUGGUUUCUUUGCCCACCUGUCUUAAGCAGUCUAAGCAGCAGAGGGAAGGUUGCUAUUCCGUUCAGGUUUUGGGGGCAUUUGUGUUAAAACUGGUGAAAUAUGUGGCAUUUCAU